AAUGAACGUUAGCGACGUGCCUAACACAUGCAAGUCGAGCGCGAAAGUCCCUUCGGGGAUGAGUAGAGCGGCGGACGGGUGAGUAACGCGUGAGAAUCUACCUUUUAGUGGAGGAUACCCUCGAGAAAUUGAGGUUAAUACUGCAUACGUCUCGAAAGAGAGAAAGAUGGCCUAUUUGCUGUCGCUAAAAGAUGAGCUUGCGUCCUAUUAUAUUAUCGGUUAGAUGGUAGGGUAAAGGCCUACCAUGACCAAGAUGGGUAGCCGGCCUGAGAGGGUGAACGGCCACACUGGAACUUAGACACGGGUCCAGACUCCUACGGGGAGGCAGCAGUGAGGAAUAUUGCACAAUGGGCGAAAGCCUGAUGCAGCGACGUCGCGUGGAGGAUGAAGGUUUUCGGAUCGUAAACUCCUGUUAAGUGGUAAGAAA
rnacentral:rRNA from 1 species